AGGCAAGAAGGCACUAAACAAGGGCAGUGAGGUACAACAAGCUCUGUGGUUUUAUUUCUCCUAAAUGGGAAGAAACAUGGAGAGGAAGAAAAGUGUGCAAUUUCAGUUGCAAAUGGAGGCAGGGGCGCACCAUGUUCUCUGAUACGAUUGUACCUCCCAUUGGUAAGAAUCAGGUAUUACACAGCAAGUGGGCACCAAUAUAUCAUUUCCUCAGUAGUCAUAACUGCAAUGGAUUUUGUUACAUCAGUAUAACCAAUUUACCAAAGAAGUUUGGUCAAAAUAUCAAAGAGUGCGUUACCAAUAAUCAGGAGUCUAAAAACUCAAACGUAUCUAAAAGCCAUGACACAGAAGGCCUGGAGACUGCAUGGAAUGAUGAGGACUGCAGUGAACUCUGAAGUGCAUACCCAUGUGAAACGAACAAGUGCUAUUCGGAGGAAGCAGAUUGUGUUAAUCUGAGGCCUUUGAGAUACUAUGUGAACUGCUCCGACAUCCUGAAGAGAAGGUCUGGAUCAUUUAAGUAGGACUUGCAAAGAAAGUGGCCUAGAUCCUUAGCUGAGCUGAUCACUUACCUCAAACCUAUAAAGAAGUGGAGGGGCCAAGAAUAGGUGUUGGAUGUCAGCAGGAGAGUUUCAUCAAAGAGCUGUCAGUUUCAUCUCAACCUUACCCUCCAGGAGAGGUAAGAUGUCCUCUCUCUCACAAUAGAUGAGUUUGACUUUUGGUCCUGGGCAUCUGUGGUACUCAGUGCUUAGGGCUGGCUCCAUGCUUUAAAAUAUGUAUAUGUGAGAACUGCAUGAACUCGCCAGUGGGGAGAUGAAAAAGAAAGAAAAAAGUCAGGAAGCUCCAGAAGCUUUCUACAUUUCCAUUUGAGAUAAGGAUAAGGAUGCCUGAAUGUUUUUCUUGAAGAAGAAGUGAACAAAUGGAACAGAAAGCUAUAUUUUACCUGAGAGAGGAAAGAGAGUGCAUAACUGUUUCUCAUGAACCACAGUGAAGUUUGAGAGCAUAGGCUCAGAACCAACUCAAAUUCUCUACACAAAGAUUGCCUGGAGAGUCAAGGUGAGCACCCCUCCCACGCACACACCUGCCAAUGCACACACAAAAGACAGAGGAAGACUACAGGAUUGCAAAAGGAGAGAGGAGGAACACAAGUGGCUAGCUGAAGGAAAAGUAUUGCUUAAAUUUGGGGAUCACUGCUGAAGGUUUCCAAUAGUACUCCAAAAAAAUAGGAGACCACAUGAAUCAUAAUCAAUCUCAAAGGAAUCCAUCAUAAACACUGGUCACAGCUGGAGGUAACCAAUACUCUAUUGGUGUCUGUCCUUGUUCAUGUACUUGUCUCCCCACCACUCCAAUCACUGAAGCUGAGUCUCUUGGGUGGUGUGCAAAGGAGAUCGAAUCCAGCCAAGUGACAGGAUGAAAGAGAAUCUGACCACACUCUCCAUCCUUGCCACAGACUUCCAAGCUCAAAGGGUCCUGUAGUGA